GUUAGAACGCUCGUAGUCGGAUUUCGGGGCGGGUCGACCGGUCUGCCGAUGGGUACGCACUGGUCGACGCGUCCUUCCUUCCGGAGACCGUCUCACUCUUAACUGAGCGGAGGCGGGAGACGGAACGUUUACUUUGAAAAAAUCAGAGUGUUUCAAGCAGGCAGCUCGCUCUUGCAUGGAUUAGCAUGGGAUAAUGAAAUAGGACUUUGGUGCUAUUUUGUUGGUUUCGAACACCGAAGUAAUGAUGAGAAGGGACAGUCAGGGGCACUCGUAUUCCGCCGAGAGAGGUGAAAUUCUCAGACCAGCGGAAGACGAACCACUGCGAAAGCAUUUGCCAGGGAUGUUUUCACUGAUCAAGAACGAAAGUUAGGGGAUCGAAGACGAUCAGAUACCGUCGUAGUCUUAACCAUAAACCAUGCCGACUAGGGAUUGGGGGAUGUUCACUUAUUGACUCCCUCAGCACCUUACGGGAAACUAAAGUCUUUGGGUUCCGGGGGGAGUAUGGUCGCAAGGCUGAAACUUAAAGGAAUUGACGGAAGGGCACCACCAGGUGUGGAGCCUGCGGCUUAAUUUGACUCAACACGGGGAAACUUACCAGGUCCAGACAUUGUGAGGAUUGACAGAUUGAGAGCUCUUUCUUGAUUCGAUGGGUGGUGGUGCAUGGCCGUUCUUAGUUGGUGGAGUGAUUUGUCUGGUUAA
rnacentral:rRNA from 1 species